rnacentral:rRNA from 1 species
UCGGUAAGGCCCUUCGGGGUACACGAGCGGCGAACGGGUGAGUAACACGUGGGCGACCUACCCUCAGCUUCGGGAUAAGCCUGGGAAACUGGGUCUAAUACCGGAUAUGACCACAUGUCGCAUGGUGUGUGGUGGAAAGUUUUUCGGCUGGGGAUGGGCCCGCGGCCUAUCAGCUUGUUGGUGGGGUGAUGGCCUACCAAGGCGACGACGGGUAGCCGGCCUGAGAGGGCGACCGGCCACACUGGGACUGAGAUACGGCCCAGACUCCUACGGGAGGCAGCAGUGGGGAAUAUUGCGCAAUGGGCGAAAGCCUGACGCAGCGACGCCGCGUGGGGGAUGACGGCCUUCGGGUUGUAAACCUCUUACGACCGGGACGAAGAGAGAUUGACGGUACCGGUAGAAGAAGCACCGGCCAACUACGUGCCAGCAGCCGCGGUAAUACGUAGGGUGCGAGCGUUGUCCGGAAUUAUUGGGCGUAAAGAGCUCGUAGGCGGUGUGUCACGUCGAUCGUGAAAACCUACAGCUUAACUGUGGGCGUGCGGUCGAUACGGGCAUCACUGGAGUUCGGCAGGGGAGACUGGAAUUCCUGGUGUAGCGGUGAAAUGCGCAGAUAUCAGGAGGAACACCGGUGGCGAAGGCGGGUCUCUGGGCCGAUACUGACGCUGA